GGGUGGAAAGGUCGCAAGGAUUUUCUAGCGUUUCGACAGAAAGUUGUGAAGAUACAGGCUCAUGUGAGGGGUUAUCAAGUUAGGAAGCACUACAAGGUUUUCUGUUGGGCUGUUGGAAUUCUAGAGAAGGCUGUGCUGCGUUGGAGACGUAAAGGGGUUGGUUUGCGAGGUUUCCGGAAUGAGGCAGAGCCUAUUGAUGAAAGUGAAGAUGAAGAUAUUCU
rnacentral:misc_RNA from 1 species